UACGUAGGGUGCGAGCGUUGUCCGGAAUUAUUGGGCGUAAAGAGCUCGUAGGCGGUUUGUCACGUCUGCUGUGAAAUCCCGAGGCUCAACCUCGGGCCUGCAGUGGGUACGGGCAGACUGGAGUGCGGUAGGGGAGAAUGGAAUUCCUGGUGUAGCGGUGGAAUGCGUAGAUAUCGGGAGGAACACCAGUGGCGAAGGCGACUACCUGGCCCAUUCUUGACGCUGAGGCGCGAAAGCUAGGGGAGCGAACGGG
rnacentral:rRNA from 1 species